rnacentral:ncRNA from 1 species
CCCAACUUUUAACCCAAGGUCUUGGUCUUAAACCUCUUAUUAUCUUAACUCCACACUUAUACAUGCAAGCCUCAACACGACAGUGAAACAGCCCACUACAACCACACAAGGAGCUGAUAUCAGGCUAACCGCCCAUGACAUCAAGCAAUUAAGCCACACCCCCACGGGCCCACAGCAGUAGUUAACAUUGGGCAAUAAGCGCAAGCUUGACCCAGUAAUGGAAACUCAGAGCCGGUUAAUCUCGUGCCAGCGACCGCGGUUACACGACAGGCUCAAGACAAUACUAUCGGCGUAAAGCACGACUAAAAACCCGUUACCCAGUUAAGGGUAAAGUCAGACUGGGCUGUAAAAAGCCAUAAGUCACACUAACCACAGCCCUUAACAUUAGACAACUUCAACUCGUGAAAGCCAGGACACAAACUAAGAUUAGAUACCUUACUAUGCCUGAUUAUAACAAAACAAUUAAAUUACUAUUUGUUCGCCAAAUAACUACGAGUUAUAACUUAAAAUUUAAAAGACUUGACGGUACUUCACACCAACCUAGAGGAGCCUGUCUAAUAACCGAUAACCCACGAUUUACCCAACCAGCUCUAGCCUAACAGUCUAUAUACCGCCGUCGCCAGCUUACCUUGUGAAAGUAUAAAAGUAAGCCAAAUAACCCCCAUUAACACGACAGGUCGAGGUGUAACUAAUGAGCUGGACUAAGAUGGGCUACAUUUUCUAAACUAGAAAAAACAAACAAACUAUGAAACUAGUGAUUAAAGGUGGAUUUAGCAGUAAGCUGGGAAUAAAUUGCCCAACCGAAAUAAACGCAAUGAAGUGCGCACACACCGCCCGUCAUCCCUGUAAGAUAUCUCAUAUAUUCAUAAAUAAAACACCACACCAAAGCAGGGCAAGUCGUAACAUGGUAAGCGUACUGAAA